rnacentral:lncRNA from 1 species
UAUUUUAUUUCACUGAUUUUCUAUUUUUUUUUAUGAAUUUUCUCUUUUCUCCUUUGUUUUAAUUAGUUUAAAAAUAUUUUUCUGCAUUUUAAAAUUCCAAAAUUUUUAUUAUAUGUUUCUUAAUUUAUUUCCAAUCCUCCAUAAUUUUCUUGCCCAUUUAUUUAGUGUUUUGAAAGACUUUAUGGAUUUUCCAUUUUAUUUCUAUUUGAAAAAUCAUUUAA